rfam:Neotoma lepida isolate 417 scaffold_168, whole genome shotgun sequence.
GGAGAAGUGGCUCAGCUGUUAAGAGCACUGGCUGUUCUUCCAAAGGGCCUGGGUUCAAUUCUCAGCAUCUACA